GACGUAGGUGGCGAACGUUAUCCGGAAUCAUUGGGCGUAAAGGGUGCGUAGAUGGCAUGAUAAGUUAUUAGUGGGAAAUCGAGGCUCAACCUCGUGGAAGCUAGUAAUACUGUUUUGCUUGAGUGCAGAAGAGGUUAACGGAAUUCCAUGUGGAGCGGUAAAAUGCGUAGAUAUAUGGAAGAACAUCAAUAACGGCGAAGGCAGUUAACUAUUCUGUUACUGACAUUGAGGCACGAAAGCGUGGGGAGCAAAACGG
rnacentral:rRNA from 1 species